rnacentral:rRNA from 1 species
AUACGUAUGUCGCAAGCGCUAUCCGGAUUUAUUGGGCGUAAAGCGCGUCUAGGCGGUUUAGUAAGUCUGAUGUGAAAAUGCGGGGCUCAACCCCGUAUUGCGUUGGAAACUGCCAAACUAGAGUACUGGAGAGGUAGGCGGAACUACCAGUGGAGAGGUGAAAUUCGUAGAUAUUUGUAGGAAUGCCGAUGGGGAAGCCAGCCUACUGGACAGAUACUGACGCUAAAGCGCGAAAGCGUGGGUAGCAAACAGGAUUAGAUACCCUGGUAGUCCACGCCGUAAACGAUGAUUACUAGGUGUUGGGGGUCGAACCUCAGCGCCCAAGCUAACGCGAUAAGUAAUCCGCCUGGGGAGUACGUACGCAAGUAUGAAACUCAAAUGAAUUGACGGGG